rnacentral:rRNA from 1 species
AGAGUUUGAUCCUGGCUCAGAGCGAACGCUGGCGGCAGGCUUAACACAUGCAAGUCGAGCGGGCACUUCGGUGUCAGCGGCGGACGGGUGAGUAACGCGUGGGAACGUGCCUUCUGGUUCGGAAUAACUCAGGGAAACUUGAGCUAAUACCGGAUACGCCCUUAUGGGGAAAGGUUUACUGCCGGAAGAUCGGCCCGCGUCUGAUUAGCUAGUUGGUGGGGUAACGGCCUACCAAGGCGACGAUCAGUAGCUGGUCUGAGAGGAUGAUCAGCCACACUGGGACUGAGACACGGCCCAGACUCCUACGGGAGGCAGCAGUGGGGAAUAUUGGACAAUGGGGGCAACCCUGAUCCAGCCAUGCCGCGUGAGUGAUGAAGGCCUUAGGGUUGUAAAGCUCUUUUAUCCGGGACGAUAAUGACGGUACCGGAGGAAUAAGCCCCGGCUAACUUCGUGCCAGCAGCCGCGGUAAUACGAAGGGGGCUAGCGUUGCUCGGAAUCACUGGGCGUAAAGGGCGCGUAGGCGGUCUUUUAAGUCGGGGGUGAAAGCCUGUGGCUCAACCACAGAAUUGCCUUCGAUACUGGGAGACUUGAGUUCGGAAGAGGUUGGUGGAACUGCGAGUGUAGAGGUGAAAUUCGUAGAUAUUCGCAAGAACACCGGUGGCGAAGGCGGCCAACUGGUCCGACACUGACGCUGAGGCGCGAAAGCGUGGGAGCAAACAGGAUUAGAUACCCUGGUAGUCAAUCGA